AACUUAUCUAGAGAGGUUGAGGGACUGGCCCUUUGACACCUCAGCAACCAGCCACAUUUGGCAUGGUGCUAAUCCCAGCAGGUUAUGCAGUACCUGAGUGAUAAGGA
rnacentral:ncRNA from 1 species